rnacentral:rRNA from 1 species
CAGUCGAGCGGAACGAGUUAUCUGAACCUUCGGGGGACGAUAACGGCGUCGAGCGGCGGACGGGUGAGUAAUGCCUAGGAAAUUGCCCUGAUGUGGGGGAUAACCAUUGGAAACGAUGGCUAAUACCGCAUAAUGCCUACGGGCCAAAGAGGGGGACCUUCGGGCCUCUCGCGUCAGGAUAUGCCUAGGUGGGAUUAGCUAGUUGGUGAGGUAAUGGCUCACCAAGGCGACGAUCCCUAGCUGGUCUGAGAGGAUGAUCAGCCACACUGGAACUGAGACACGGUCCAGACUCCUACGGGAGGCAGCAGUGGGGAAUAUUGCACAAUGGGCGCAAGCCUGAUGCAGCCAUGCCGCGUGUGUGAAGAAGGCCUUCGGGUUGUAAAGCACUUUCAGUCGUGAGGAAGGUGGUGUAGUUAAUAGCUGCAUUAUUUGACGUUAGCGACAGAAGAAGCACCGGCUAACUCCGUGCCAGCAGC